GGGGGCGUACUUGGCUUCGACGGGGGUACGCUGCUUUCGAGAAGCGAGUCGAAGGUUUCCUGGACCUGCGUUAAAAAACUGGGAACUUAAAUUUAAACGCAAACGAUAAUUUAGCGUUAGCUGCCUAGUUGCAGCUCGUCAGCCUAAGAGUCCCACGACUUAGGGUCUGGCGUCGACAGUGGGGUCCCGAGCCUUACAAAGCUUUGAGUAAGGAACGGAAUUUAUGAAGCUACUAAAGUGAAGAGCCUGUCUAUUGGCGCUUCAUAGAGGGAAUGUCAAAAGAUAGACUGCACUCGGAGAUGCUCGGGGGCUACUACCUUCGGACAGCGGUUCGACACCGCUCGCCUCCACCA
rnacentral:tmRNA from 1 species